UAAAGAUUUUAAGGGCGUACGGUGGAUGCCUUGGCGAUAUCAGCCGAAGAAGGACGCGGUAAGCUGCGAUAAGCUACGGAGAGGUGCAAGCAACCUGUGACCCGUAGAUUUCCGAAUGGGGGAACCCGGCAGUGGUUAUGCACUGUCACCCAUAGCUUAGACUAUGAGGAGGGCACCUGGGGAACUGAAACAUCUAAUUACCCAGAGGAACAGUAAUCAAACGAGAUUUUCUUAGUAGCGGCGAGCGAACGGGAAAGAGGCCAAACCGGAGCGGGCAACCGCACCGGGGUUGAGGACAGUCAUCAAGUGUAAAUGAGGUAGAAGAAUCGAGCUGGAAAGCUCAGCCGCAGAAGGUGAAAGCCCUGUAAUCGAAACCUUGCAUACAUGGGACUGUAUCCAGAGUACCACGAGACACGUGAAACCUUGUGGGAAGCAGGGGGGACCACCCUCCAAGCCAAAAUACUGAUAUCGACCGAUAGCGCAUAGUACCGUGAGGGAAAGGUGAAAAGAACCCCUGGCGGGGAGUGAAAGAGAACCUGAAACCGUAUGUCUACAAACAGUCGAAGUCUGUAUAUAUAUCAGGACGACGGCGUGCCUAUUGAAGAAUGAACCGACGAGUUACUGUUGCUAGCGAGGUUAAGUGGAAAACAUGGAGCCGCAGCGAAAGCGAGUCUGAACAGGGCGUUCAGUUAGUAAUAGUAGACCCGAAACCGUAGUGAUCUAUCCAUGGCCAGGUUGAAGCACAGGUAAAAUUGUGUGGAGGACCGAACUCGUGAGCGUUGAAAAGCUUUGGGAUGAGUUGUGGAUAGGGGUGAAAUGCCAAUCGAACACGGAGAUAGCUGGUUCUCCCCGAAAUAGCUUUAGGGCUAGCCUCGAGGUAGAGAGUAUAGGCGGUAGAGCACUGAUCGGGCUAGGGGCCAUACCGGUUACCGAACCUAGUCAAACUACGAAUGGCUAUACUUAUACUCGGGAGUCAGACAGUGAAUGAUAAGGUCCAUUGUCAAGAGGGAAACAGCCCAGAACACCGACUAAGGUCCCCAAUGUUACACUAAGUGGCGAAGGAUGUGGAAUUUCCAAAACAACCAGGAUGUUGGCUUAGAAGCAGCCACCAUUUAAAGAGUGCGUAAUAGCUCACUGGUCGAGAGACUCUGCGCCGAAAAUGUCCGGGGCUAAAGUGUAAAACCGAAGUCGUGUCAUAUGCAGCAAUGUAUAUGGGUAGGGGAGCGUUCUCAUCGGGCUGAAGCAGUACCGUAAGGAGUUGUGGACUGAUGAGAAGUGAGAAUGUCGGUAUGAGUAGCGAAAAGAAUGGUGAGAAUCCAUUCCACCGAAAGCCUAAGGGUUCCUGAGCAACGAUCGUCGUCUCAGGGUAAGUCGGGACCUAAGCCGAGGCGGAAAAGCGUAGGCGAUGGACAACAGGUUGAAAUUCCUGUACCGGUGUGAAUCGUUUGAUCGAUGGAGUGACACAGUAAGGUAGGUCAGCACGCGAUUGGAAGAGCGUGUUUAAGCAGGUAGGUUGAGCUAUAGGCAAAUCCGUAGCUCUAAAAGCUGAGAUGUGAUGACGAGCGACUAGCAAUAGUCGCGAAGUGAUUGAUCCUACACUGUCGAGAAAAGCUUCUAGGUAGAGACACAUCGCCCGUACCAAAACCGACACAGGUAGGCGGGGAGAGAAUCCUAAGGUGCGCGGGAAAACCCUCGUUAAGGAACUCGGCAAAAUGCCUCCGUAACUUCGGGAAAAGGAGGACUCAUGUAGUGUGAAGAGCAGAAGCGCUUGGAGCAUGAAUGAGUGGCACAAGAGAGGCGCAAGCGACUGUUUACCACAAACACAGGUGCCUGCUAAAGCGAAAGCUGAUGUAUAGGUGCUGACACCUGCCCGGUGCUGGAAGGUUAAGAGGAGGGGUUAGACUUCGGUCGAAGCUCUGAAUUGAAGCCCCAGUAAACGGCGGCCGUAACUAUAACGGUCCUAAGGUAGCGAAAUUCCUUGUCGGGUAAGUUCC
rnacentral:rRNA from 1 species